rnacentral:rRNA from 1 species
AUUGAACGCUGGCGGCAUGCCUUACACAUGCAAGUCGAACGGCAGCGCGGGGCAACCUGGCGGCGAGUGGCGAACGGGUGAGUAAUAUAUCGGAACAUACCCUAGAGUGGGGAUAACGUAGCGAAAGUUACGCUAAUACCGCAUACGCACUAAGGUGGAAAGUGGGGGAUUCGCAAGAACCUCAUGCUCAUGGAGUGGCCGAUAUCUGAUUAGCUAGUUGGUGAGGUAAAGGCUCACCAAGGCGACGAUCAGUAGCUGGUUUGAGAGAACGACCAGCCACACUGGAACUGAGACACGGUCCAGACUCCUACGGGAGGCAGCAGUGGGGAAUUUUUGGGACAAUGGGGGCAACCCUGAUCCAGCAAUGCCGCGUGAGUGAAGAAGGCCUCGGUUGUAAAGACGUCUUUUCGUUCUAGGGAAGGAAACGGUA